rnacentral:rRNA from 1 species
UGGGGAAUAUUGCACAAUGGGGGAAACCCUGAUGCAGCGACGCCGCGUGAGCGAAGAAGGCCUUCGGGUCGUAAAGCUCUUUUAUGAGGGAAGAUAAUGACGGUACCUCAAGAAAAAGCCCCGGCUAACUACGUGCCAGCAGCCGCGGUAAUACGUAGGGGGCUAGCGUUGUCCGGAAUCACUGGGCGUAAAGGGUUCGCAGGCGGAAUGACAAGUCAGAUGUGAAAGGCAUGGGCUCAACCCAUGUAAGCAUUUGAAACUGUAAUUCUUGAGAAGUGGAGAGGUAAGUGGAAUUCCUAGUGUAGCGGUGAAAUGCGUAGAUAUUAGGAGGAAUACCUGUGGCGAAGGCGACUUACUGGACACAAAUCUGACGCUGAGGAACGAAAGCGUGGGUAGCAAACAGG